rnacentral:lncRNA from 1 species
CCCCCCCCCCCCUUUCCUUUGCGCUGUUUAGUAGCUGGGGCUGCUGAUUACUUGGUUCCUUUUCGAAUUACCCCCUCCCCCCCCCCCCAAUUCUGGGAUCCGCCCCUACCCCUUUGACUUUAUUCAUCCAUUUCAAACAUUUCCCGGUUUGGGGGGGCUCCUUCCCUGUUUCACUGCGAUUCUGCCUCGGAGACUCGCGAGCUGUGCGACUCCAGUCAAGUCACUGGGCCUUUGCUGCUGACGGGGCCAGUAAAUAGUGCCUCCCUGCCAGAGGCCGGCUGGCGAGGAGCUUCCUUUGGGACCGCGUUUGACUCCCCUAGAGCAGGCCCGAGUCAGAGGCGACCUGGGACGGCGAGAAAAGCUCUCUGCUGCAAAGGAAUCUGGAACAGGGGGGGCGGGGAAGUUCGUUCCGCGAGUCACCCUGGGGGAGCCAGAGCCUCCCUCCCUCCCGGGGAAUAUGCGGGAGAGGGGAACACGCCUGCGCCGACGCGGACAGCCGAGGGGGGGCAGCCGAGGGCUGGAGGAGUCGGAGGAGGAUGGCGGCUCUGCAGCCGCUGCUGCUCACCUUGGCUUGGGCUGGACUUCUCCCAGCGGCGACCCAUGGCGCGGUCAUUGCCCAGCCCCAGACCCUGUCCUUCUCUUGGAACCUUGGGCAAAUGGCAAGGGCCCUGCAGUCGCACUGGCCACCACAUUCCCCCAAGGCAGCCCUGCUGGCCCAGGCCCUAGAGCGGCUCCUGGAGGCAGAGGCUGGGUGGCAGGAAUGGGAACGGGAGACCAAGGCUGAAGCUGCUGCCCUGGCCCGGCUCCUCUUGCGUCUGUGGAGCAGCUCCCAUCUGGAGCCUGAGGCCAACCUGGAGGAGGUGGUGGUACCUGGUCUCAAGGUCCAGGCCAAGGAUGAGGCAGCAGUUUCCAACCAGGAACUACUACUCAGAUUCCUGUUGGCCAAGAUGGCAGAGGCCAGAAACACUCCCACCUCCAUGUGGGGGGAAGCCUGGCCACUUCAGCGGCACCGUCUGCGCCGGGACCUGGGGCCAGCUCCUGGGUCAGUGGCUCAGGGGUAUACACUGCUCCGCCUGAACAAGGACAGGGCUCAUGUCCAGCGAGGGGCACCGCUUGCUCCCACCCGCUACUGGCCAGAGUGA